rnacentral:rRNA from 1 species
AGAGAUGGAUCUCUUCCAGCAAUGGACCUGCACACAGGUGCUGCAUGGCUGUCGUCAGCUCGUGUCGUGAGAUGUUGGGUUAAGUCCCGCAACGAGCGCAGCCCUCGCCCUUAGUUGCCAGCAUUCAGUUGGGCACUCUAAGGGGACUGCCGGUGAUAAACCGGAGGAAGGCGGGGAUGACGUCAAGUCCUCAUGGCCCUUACAUCCCGGGCUGCACACGUGCUACAAUGGCAGGUACAGAGGGCUGCAAAGCCGCGAGGUAGAGCGAAUCCCAGAAAACCUGUCUCAGUCCGGAUUGAAGUCUGCAACUCGACUUCAUGAAGGCGGAAUCGCUAGUAACCGCGAAUCAGCAGGUCGCGGUGAAUACGUUCCCGGGCCUU